rnacentral:rRNA from 1 species
UCAACAGUGCGUGAAACCGCUCAAAGGGAACCAGGUAGAGCUGAAGGAGACUUGGCUUAUUUGUGCCUCAUGCUGGUCAUAUUGCAGGUGCAGAGACUCAUUGCUCGGCUUGUUAUGUGCGCUGGUGUGUCGUACUAUUUUGCUUUGUCGACACCACGAUCAUUUGUUAAAGGGGUCUGGCAUUGCGAGGAAGGUAGCUUGCAUUUAUGUAAGUGUUAUAGCCUCACUUUCUAGCACCACUCGAGAAAUGGCAUUUAGCAUGAUUGUGAUGUUUAGUUGAUGGGGAACACUGCUUUUCUAACUCUCUAAGAGAUAGGAUUGCUGUUGCAACCUUUUGACUGGACCUCUCGCAGUUUUGUUCAAAUCUGUGGUGGCAUGGUAGGCAUUCUACCUGACCCGUCUUGAAACACGGACCAAGGAGUUUAGCAUGUACGCGAGUCAUGGGGUUGUACGAAACCUAAAGGCGCAGUGAAAGUGAAGGCUUACCUUUGUAAGCUUAGGUAGGAUCCUGGAUUUCAUUGGGCAGCAAUGCACAUGGUCUAGGCGCACUACCAGAUCGUCCUAUGCUUUAUUAAGUAGGGCGAAUCAAGAGCGUACAUGCUGAGACCCGAAAGAUGGUGAACUAUGCUUGAGUAGGAUGAAGCCAGAGGAAACUCUGGUGGAGGUCCGUAGCGAUUCUGACGUGCAAAUCGAUCGUCAAACUUGAGUAUAGGGGCGAAAGACUAAUCGAACCAUCUAGUAGCUGGUUCCCUCCGAAGUUUCCCUCAGGAUAGCUGGCGCUCGAGAAUCAAACAGUUUUAUCCGGUAAAGCGAAUGAUUAGCAGUAUUGGGGACGAAAUGUCCUCAACUGAUUCUCAAACUUUAAAUGGGUGAGAGGCUCAACUCUCUUAAAUAUGGAGUUGUGGCAUUGAAUGUGAGCGCCUAGUGGGCCAUUUUUGGUAAGCAGAACUGGCGAUGAGGGAUGAACCUAACGUCUGGUUAAGGAGCCAAACACAACGCUCAUGAGACACCACAAAAGGUGUUGGUUGAUUUUGACAGCAGGACGGUGGCCAUGGAAGUCGGAAUCCGCUAAGGAGUGUGUAACAACUCACCUGCCGAAUCAACCAGCCCUGAAAAUGGAUGGCGCUGUAGCGUUGGUCCUAUACCAGACCGUUACCGAGAAGCAGUAU